CACGUAGGGCGCAAGCGUUUGUCCGGAAUUAUUGGGCGUAAAGAGCUCGUAGGCGGUUUGUCGCGUCUGCUGUGAAAACCCGAGGCUCAACCUCGGGCCUGCAGUGGGUACGGGCAGACUAGAGUGCGGUAGGGGAGAUUGGAAUUCCUGGUGUAGCGGUGGAAUGCGCAGAUAUCAGGAGGAACACCAAUGGCGAAGGCAGAUCUCUGGGCCGUAACUGACGCUGAGGAGCGAAAGCAUGGGGAGCGAACAGG
rnacentral:rRNA from 1 species